GAUGAACGCUAGCGGCAGGCCUAACACAUGCAAGUCGCGGGGCAGCGCGGUGUAGCAAUACACUGGCGGCGACCGGCGCACGGGUGCGUAACGCGUAUGCAACCUGCCCAUCCCCGGGGGAUAGCCCGCCGAAAGGCGGAUUAAUACCCCAUGGCCCCUAGGUUCCGCAUGGGACGUCAGGGUAAAGGCUCCGGCGGGGAUGGAUGGGCAUGCGUGCCAUUAGCUGGUUGGUAGGGUAACGGCUUACCAAGGCUACGAUGGCUAGGGGGUCUGGGAGGAUGAUCCCCCACACUGGUACUGAGACACGGACCAGACUCCUACGGGAGGCAGCAGUGAGGAAUAUUGGUCAAUGGGCGGAAGCCUGAACCAGCCGAUGCCGCGUGCAGGACGACGGCCCUACGGGUUGUAAACUGCUUUUCCGGGGGAAGAAUAACCGCCUGCGGGGCGGGAUGCCGGUACCCGGGAAUAAGGAUCGGCUAACUCCGUG
rnacentral:rRNA from 1 species